AAAUUUGGAAAAAUCCUGUGAAAUUGUGCAAUGCGUAUCCAAACAGUUUAAAAAUUGAAUCCGUGGAAUUUUUUAGAGUUGCAGGAUUCUCUAUUUUAUCUAGACCGAAACCACAGUUUAUAAAUUCCGUGGAGAUAUUUUACUGUGUAUCCAAACAGGCCCUAAAUGUAGGGAGAGUUUGAAAGUAGAAUAAAACUUUAAUUUUUUAAGUUUAGGAUUAAAGAAUUUUGAGAAAUAAAUAG
rnacentral:lncRNA from 1 species